CUAGCGACUUCAGAGUUUGAUCCUGGCUCAGGAUGAACGCUAGCGGCAGGCCUAACACAUGCAAGUCGAGGGGCAGCGGGAAUGAGGCUUGCUUCAUUUGCCGGCGACCGGCGCACGGGUGCGUAACGCGUAUGUAACCUACCUUAAACAGGGGCAUAACACUGAGAAAUUGGUACUAAUUCCCCAUAACACUUUUGAAGGCAUCUUUGGAAGUUGAAAGUUCCGGCGGUUUAAGAUGGACAUGCGUUGUAUUAGUUAGUUGGUGAGGUAACGGCUCACCAAGACGACGAUACAUAGGGGGACUGAGAGGUUAACCCCCACAUUGGUACUGAGACACGGACCAA
rnacentral:rRNA from 1 species